rnacentral:rRNA from 1 species
CCCUAUGGGGUGCAGCAGGCCGCUUGAUUUAAAAGGAAACCGCCUGUAAAUUUCAGGUUAUAAAAUAUUAUAAGGAGUCGUUAAUGGAGGAACUGGUUAAGGAACUUAAAAGAAAGAUAAUAGAUACACUGGGACUGAUCGACGUGACACCCGACGACAUAGAUGAGUCGGCGCAGCUUGUAGGCGGCGACCUGGGACUGGAUUCCAUAGACGUUCUGGAACUUGUAAUGAUGAUUGAGAAGGACUACGGCAUUAAAAUUGACAACAAGGAACUGGGCGUAAAGGUAUUCGCCUCGGUGACAUCUCUGGCCGAGCAUAUCAAAAACAACCGCACAAUCUGAUCGAAACAGCAUUGAUUAAUCAUGGGAAAAGCUGUCAUGACGGACGAAACAGGGUCUCAGACCGAUAUAUUGAUCAUCGGUUCCGGAAUUGGCGGGAGAGC